AGAGUUUGAUCCAUGGCUCAGAACGAACGCUGGCGGCAGGCCUAACACAUGCAAGUCGAGCGAGAUCUUCGGGUCUAGCGGCGGACGGGUGAGUAACGCGUGGGAAUAUGCCUUUCACUACGGAAUAGUCCUGGGAAACUGGGUUUAAUACCGUAUACGCCCUUCGGGGGAAAGAAUUUCGGUGAAAGAUUAGCCCGCGUUGGAUUAGGUAGUUGGUGGGGUAAUGGCCUACCAAGCCUACGAUCCAUAGCUGGUUUGAGAGGAUGAUCAGCCACACUGGGACUGAGACACGGCCCAGACUCCUACGGGAGGCAGCAGUGGGGAAUCUUAGACAAUGGGGGCAACCCUGAUCUAGCCAUGCCGCGUGAGUGAUGAAGGCCUUAGGGUUGUAAAGCUCUUUCAGCUGGGAAGAUAAUGACGNACCAGCAGAAGAGCCCCGCA
rnacentral:rRNA from 2 species